CGGACGGGUGAGUAACACGUGGAUAACCUACCUAUAAGACUGGGAUAACUUCGGGAAACCGGAGCUAAUACCGGAUAAUAUUUUGAACCGCAUGGUUCAAAAGUAAAAGACGGUCUUGCUGUCACUUAUAGAUGGAUCCGCGCUGCAUUAGCUAGUUGGUAAGGUAGCGGCUUACCAAGGCAACGAUGCAUAGCCGACCUGAGAGGGUGAUCGGCCACACUGGAACUGAGACACGGUCCAG
rnacentral:rRNA from 1 species